rnacentral:rRNA from 1 species
UACGUAGGGGGCAAGCGUUGUCCGGAAUCAUUGGGCGUAAAGAGCGCGUAGGCGGCCCUGUAAGUCCGCUGUGAAAGUCAAGGGCUCAACCCUUGAAUGCCGGUGGAUACUGCAGGGCUAGAGUCCGGAAGAGGCGAGUGGAAUUCCUGGUGUAGCGGUGAAAUGCGCAGAUAUCAGGAGGAACACCAGCGGCGAAGGCGGUGCUCUGGGCCGGAACUGACGCUGAGGAGCGAAAGCGUGGGGAGCGAACAGG